AAUAUUGCGCAAUGGAGGGAACUCUGACGCAGCGACGCCGCGUGAUCGAAGAAGGUUUUCGGACANUCACGCUCUGUCCUUGGGGANAAAGGUCUUCCGACUCGACGGUACCUAACGAGGAUGCCCCGGCUAACUACGUUCCUGCAGCCGCGGUAAUACGUAGGGGGCAAGCGUUGUCCGGAAUUAUUGGGCGUAAAGGGUGCGUAGGCGGCCUUUUAAGUCAGGUGUGAAAGCCCACGGCUUAACCGUGGGAUUGCAUUUGAAACUGGAAGGCUUGAGUAUCGGAGAGGGUAGUGGAAUUCCCAGUGUAGCGGUGGAAUGCGUAGAUAUCGGGAGGAACACCAGUGGCGAAGGCGGCCACCUGGACGGACCCUGACGCUGAGGCACGAAAGCUAGGGGAGCAAAC
rnacentral:rRNA from 1 species